rnacentral:lncRNA from 1 species
AUGGAUAAUUGCAGUUGGAUUUUUCUUCAUCAACCUCCCCCCCACCCUUUUUUUUUUUCUUUUUGGUGUCAAGAUCAUGCGUUUUCGCUUGUUCUUAACCACCUGGAUUUCCAUCUGGAUGUUGCUGUGAUCUGUCUGAAAUACAAUUGGCAAACACGUGGCCUGUUUACAGCAUAGAGACCACAAUGGAGAGCUAGCUUAGAAACAGUCUUCAUGUUCCCAGCUUGAACCAGAGAUGACUCUCCUUGGGAU